AAAUUGAAGAGUUUGAUCAUGGCUCAGAUUGAACGCUGGCGGCAGGCCUAACACAUGCAAGUCGAACGGUGACAGGAAGCAGCUUGCUGCUUUGCUGACGAGUGGCGGACGGGUGAGUAAUGUCUGGGAAACUGCCUGAUGGAGGGGGAUAACUACUGGAAACGGUGGCUAAUACCGCAUAACGUCGCAAGACCAAAGAGGGGGACCUUCGGGCCUCUUGCCAUCAGAUGUGCCCAGAUGGGAUUAGCUUGUUGGUGAGGUAACGGCUCACCAAGGCGACGAUCCCUAGCUGGUCUGAGAGGAUGACCAGCCACACUGGAACUGAGACACGGUCCAGACUCCUACGGGAGGCAGCAGUGGGGAAUAUUGCACAAUGGGCGCAAGCCUGAUGCAGCCAUGCCGCGUGUAUGAAGAAGGCCUUCGGGUUGUAAAGUACUUUCAGCGGGGAGGAAGGUGUUG
rnacentral:rRNA from 1 species